AAUCAGAACUCGACUCCGAAAAUCGGCCCCAUUAAUUGAGUUUCCAAGCAUGGACAGUUUUCCGAAAAACAGUAUCCUGUUCACUAUUUACGGAUCGCCUGUUUACCGAUUAGUUUUUGGGAAAGGAUGUAGGCACACAAGGAGGCACACAUUUCGGAAGCACACAUGGACAAACAUUUAUCACGGCGUGCUGGGGAUGAUGGGGAGGAGCAUACAACAAUGCAUGUCUAACGAGAGGUCCACGAGCCCGGUGGGCAUUCGACCGUGAGUACGCGCGGCGGAAGAGAGGAUGAUGUUUAUUGGCGUGGCAAGAUAAUGCCGGAUUAUGGUCUAGAUUUGGGAUUAGGAGCGAUAAUUUAGCGCUCGGAACGGAAUAACCACACAUUGCGGCGAGCGAGGUUUUGUAGUACGAUGGCCGGAUCGGUCUCGGUUUGUGUGUGUGUAUGUGUGUAUAGUUAAACUAUUUAACCCGACUCGGUACUUCGGAUAUGUCCUGUGGCAGUUGCGUGUCAUCGGAAAUGAUGGGACACACACGCCGGCCAGUGUGUGAUUCAAUGUUUCGAGCGAAAACCGCACCGAAAACGGGAACUCCUGGUUGGUGUACAUUGCGUGGUCGUCCGCUGGCUCGUCUCGGCUAAUGAGUAAUUAGGAUUAUACGAGGUACACACCGCCACCGAGGGUACCGCCGAGUUUGCCUGGGGUUGGGUUCGACAUGCAUGCCAGGAUAUUCGAAACCUUCCGUCACCAUUUUGGCUCAUGGGUGUUUGUGUGUGUGUGUGUGUGUGGAUGUGCUGUGCGAAUAAUAAUUGAACUCGCGACUAAUCAGAUUCACGGUGCGUUACGAUUGUGAUUAUACAGAGGGCUAGCGUUAUAAAAGCGAAAGGAAUUAGCAGACGAA